rnacentral:lncRNA from 1 species
GUUUUUCUUCCUUAGGAGGUUUGUAAUAAGUCGGUGACUUAUAUUCUGAAUAUGACUUAUCUUCUUUAGGUGGUUUGUGAUAAGUAGAUGGAUAUUUAGAAUAUGGUUUUUCUUCCUUAGGAGGUUUAUAAUAAGUUGAUGGCUUAUAUUUAGAAUACGACUUAUCUUUUUUAAGUGGUUUGUAAUAAGUAGGUGGAUAUUCAGAAUGUGAUUUUUUUUUUCCUUAGGAGGUGGUGGU